GAUGAACGCUGGCGGCGUGCCUAAUACAUGCAAGUCGAGCGAACAGACGAGGAGCUUGCUCCUCUGACGUUUGCCGCGGACGGGUGAGUAACACGUGGAUAACCCACUUCUCUUACUGGGAUAACUUCGAGAAUCCGGCGCUAACACCGGAUAAUAUAUUUAACCGCAUGGUUCAAUAGUGUAAGACGGUUUUGCUGUCACUUAUAGAUUGAUCCCCGCCGCAUGAGGUAGUUGGUAAGGUAACGGCUUACCAAGGCCACGAUGCGUAGCCGACCGGGGAGGGUGAUCGGCCACACGAGAGCGGAGACGCGGACCAGACUCCUACGGGAGGGAGCAGUAGGGAAUCUGCCGCAGUGGGCGAAAGCUUGGCGGAGCAGCGCCGCGUGAGUGAUGAAGGUCUUCGGAUCGGAAAGCUCGGUUAUGAGGGAAGAACAAAUGUGUAAGUAAAUAAGCACGUCGUGACGGUACCUAGACAGAAAGCCACGGCUAACUACGUG
rnacentral:rRNA from 1 species